rnacentral:rRNA from 1 species
CCUACGGGUGGCUGCAGUGGGGAAUAUUGGACAAUGGGCGAAAGCCUGAUCCAGCCAUGCCGCGUGUGUGAAGAAGGCCUUCGGGUUGUAAAGCACUUUCAGUGGGGAAGAAAGCCUUGGGGCUAAUACCCUCGAGGAAGGACAUCACCCACAGAAGAAGCACCGGCUAACUGCCGUGCCAGCAGCCGCGGUAAUACGGAGGGUGCGAGCGUUAAUCGGAAUUACUGGGCGUAAAGCGCGCGUAGGCGGUCUGAUAAGCCGGUUGUGAAAGCCCCGGGCUCAACCUGGGAACGGCAUCCGGAACUGUCAGGCUAGAGUGCAGGAGAGGAAGGUAGAAUUCCCGGUGUAGCGGUGAAAUGCGUAGAGAUCGGGAGGAAUACCAGUGGCGAAGGCGGCCUUCUGGACUGACACUGACGCUGAGGUGCGAAAGCGUGGGUAGCAAACAGGAUUAGAUACCCCUGUAGUC